GGUGCCGGGGGGGGAAUGGGGAGCCCGGGAAAGGGGGUGUCUGGGGGGCUGGGUAGCCCUAAGGGGGGGGUCACCCUGUCGCCCCCCCUCCCGGCCGCCUGGCCCCCCCCAGCCAGCUGUGCGCGGUGCUCCCCAUCCUGGGGGUUUUGGGGUCCGGAAGGAAACUGGGGACCCCGGGACAGGGGGUGCCUGGGGGGGGGGGGUAGCCCUCAGGGGGGGUGUCCCCUUGCCCCCCCCACGGGACGCCUGCCCCCCCCAGGCCAGCUGUGCGCGGUGCUGUUCGCCCUGGCCCUGCGCGGACCGCUCUGGCUGCCGGCGCUGCUCUACGGGCUCUGGCUCUUGGCGGACCGUGACACCCCCCGCCGCGGGGGGCGCCGUUCCGCUUGGGUACGUGGGUGGCCGCUCUGGACUUACUUCCGGGAUUACUUCCCCAUCUCGCUGGUGCGAACAACGGAGCUGGACCCCCGCCGUAAUUACAUCUUCGGUUUCCACCCCCACGGGGUUUUGGCCGCCGGUGCCUUCGCCAACUUCUGCACCGAAGCGACGGGUUUCGGGGUGCUCUUCCCCGGGCUGCGCCCCCAUUUGCUCACCCUCCCCUGUUGGUUUCGUCUACCCCUUUUCCGCGACUAUAUGAUGUCCGGAGGGUUGGUGUCGUCGGAGAAGUCCAGCCUGGAGUACCUGCUGAGCCGGGAAGGUGGGGGGCAAGUGGCCGUCAUCGCCCUGGGGGGGCCCCCCGAAUCUUUGGACGCCCACCCCGGGGCUCUCACCCUUCAGCUGCUGGGGCGGAAGGGGUUCGUCCGCAUCGCCUUGGAGCAUGGGGCCUCCUUGGUGCCCGUGUUCUCUUUUGGGGAGAACGAGCUGUUUCGACAAAUCCCGAAUCCCCCGGGAUCGGGGUUACGGCGGUUCCAGCUCCGGCUCCAACGGAUUUUGGGGGUGGCCAUCCCCCUUUUUCACGCUCGGGGGGUUUUUCAGUACAACUUCGGGCUCCUGCCCUUCCGCCGACCCAUCCACACUGUCGUAGGGUCCCCCCUGGUGCUCCCCCGUACCCCAAAUCCUUCGCCCCAGACGGUGGAGCGGUGGCAUGGCCUCUACCUGGAGAGACUCGUCGCCCUCUUCGAGGAGCAUAAAUUGGGGCGCUGUGUGUGCUGCAGUGGAUGCUCACCUUCCUCUUCCUCGGCCCGGUGUCGGUGUUGCUGCUGCUGCUGCUGCUGCAGAGCCGGUUCUGGCUCCUGGCCGUGCUCUAUGGGGGGUGGUGGCUCUGGGACUGGGACGGCCCCGAGAGAGGUGCCCGUCACUGUGAUUGGGUCCGCAACUGGAAGAUUUGGGACCAUUUCUGUGACUAUUUCCCCAUCAAGGGCUGUGCCCGGUGAGCCAGCGCUGCCUGGACCGGGUGCUGGGGCGGCAGGAUCAGGCCCUGGUGAUCAUGGUGGGGGGGGGCGGCUGAGGCUCUGGAGGGGACCCCGGGGUGUCACCGCGUCACCCUGCGCCAGCGGAGGGGCUUCGUGCGCCUGGCCCUGCGCCACGGCACCCCCCUGGUGCCGGUGUAUGUUUUUGGGGAGCAGGACACCUUCCAUCAGCCCCCCCUCACUGAGGGCUCGUGGCCCCGGCGCUUGCAGCGGGGGGUGAAGGCACUUUUGGGGUUCGCCCCCUGUUUCUUCUGGGGGAGGGGGGGGGCUCUCCCCUUCCUGCCCUUCGCUGUGCCCCUCACCGUGGUGGUGGGUGCCCCCCUGGAGGUUCCCCGCCUGCCCCAGCCCUCCCCGCAGGAGGUGGCCCACUACCACCAGCUCUACCUGCAGCGGCUCCAGCAGCUCUUCGAGGGGCACAAAGAGGC